AGAGCGAACGCUGGCGGCAGGCCUAACACAUGCAAGUCGAGCGCUCCGCAAGGGGAGCGGCAGACGGGAGAGUAACACGUGGGAACGUACCCUUCAGUUCGGAACAACCCAGGGAAACUUGGGCUAAUACCGAAUACGUCCGUAAGGAGAAAGAUUUAUCGCUGAAGGAUCGGCCCGCGUCUGAUUAGCUUGUUGGUGAGGUAACGGCUCACCAAGGCGACGAUCAGUAGCUGGUCUGAGAGGAUGAUCAGCCUCACUGGGACUGAGACACGGCCCAGACUCCUACGGGAGGCAGCAGUGGGGAAUAUUGGACAAUGGGCGCAAGCCUGAUCCAGCCAUGCCGCGUGGGUGAUGAAGGCCCUAGGGUUGUAAAGCCCUUUCGGCGGGAAGAUAAUGACGGUACCCGCAGAAGAAGCCCGGCUAACUUCGCGCCAGCAGCCGC
rnacentral:rRNA from 1 species